AGAGUUUGAUCAUGGCUCAGAUUGAACGCUGGCGGCAUGCCUAAUACAUGCAAGUCGAACGGAAACGAUGGAAGCUUGCUUCCAGGCGUCGAGUGGCGGACGGGUGAGUAAUACUUAGGAAUCUGCCUAUUAGUGGGGGACAACUCGAGGAAACUCGAGCUAAUACCGCAUACGCCCCAAGGGGGAAAGCGGGGGAUCUUUCGGGACCUCGCGCUAAUAGAUGAGCCUAAGCCGGAUUAGCUUGUUGGUGGGGUAAAGGCCUACCAAGGCGACGAUCCGUAGCUGGUCUGAGAGGACGAUCAGCCACACUGGGACUGAGACACGGCCCAGACUCCUACGGGAGGCAGCAGUAGGGAAUAUUGCACAAUGGGCGAAAGCCUGAUGCAGCAAUGCCGCGUGUGUGAAGAAGGCCUUAGGUUGUAAAGCACUUUCAAUAGUGAAGAAAAGCACAAGGAUAAUACCCUUGUGUCAUGACGUUAACUAUACAAGAAGCACCGGCUAACUCCGUGCCAGCAGCCGCGGUAAUACGGAGGGUGCAGCGUUAUCGGAAUUCUGGGCGCUAAAGCGCGCGUAGGCGGUUUUGUAAGUCGGAUGUGAAAGCCCAGGGCUUAACCCUGGAAUUGCAUCCGAUACUGCAUGACUAGAGUAUGGUAGAGGGAAGUGGAAUUUCAAGUGUAGCGGUGAAAUGCGUAGAUAUUUGAAGGAACACCAGUGGCGAAGGCGACUUCCUGGGCCAAUACUGACGCUGAGGUGCGAAAGCGUGGGGAGCGAACAGGAUUAGAUACCCUGGUAGUCCACGCCGUAAACGAUGAGAACUAGAUGUUGGGAGGGUUGCCUUUCAGUGUCGCAGCUAACGCGUUAAGUUCUCCGCCUGGGGAGUACGUCGGCAACGAUAAAACUCAAAGGAAUUGACGGGGACCCGCACAAGCGGUGGAGCAUGUGGUUUAAUUCGAUGCAACGCGAAGAACCUUACCUGCCCUUGACAUACUCGGAACUUGUCAGAGAUGACUUGGUGCCUUCGGGAAUCGAGAUACAGGUGCUGCAUGGCUGUCGUCAGCUCGUGUCGUGAGAUGUUGGGUUAAGUCCCGCAACGAGCGCAACCCUUGUCCCUAGUUACCAGCACUUCGGGUGGGAACUCUAGGGAGACCGCCGGUGAUAAACCGGAGGAAGGUGGGGACGACGUCAAGUCAUCAUGGCCCUUAUGGGCAGGGCUACACACGUGCUACAAUGGCGAAUACAGAGGGCCGCAAACCUGCAAAGGCCAGCUAAUCCCUUAAAGCUCGUCGUAGUCCGGAUCGGAGUCUGCAACUCGACUCCGUGAAGUCGGAAUCGCUAGUAAUCGCGAAUCAGAAUGUCGCGGUGAAUACGUUCCCGGGUCUUGUACACACCGCCCGUCACACCAUGGAAGUUGGUUGCACCAGAAGUAGGUAGCUUAACCCUCGGGAGGGCGCUUACCACGGUGUGGUCAAUGACUGGGGUGAAGUCGUAACAAGGUA
rnacentral:rRNA from 1 species